rnacentral:pre_miRNA from 1 species
GACAGAUGCCACAUUCAGAUCACCUCAAAUGGAGACACUGAUGAUUGCCAUGUUCAUAAGUGCUUCUCUUUGGGAUUGUCUUGGCUGU